ensembl:lncRNA
CAGGAGAUCAGGGUUCUGGUCUCCUGAAGCACGCGCGCAAAGAAUGGGACAACUAGUGCCUAGAACGAAGGCAGCUAUGUUAAGACCUGAAAUGGAGACUUAAGUGUUGAGACCAUGCCAAAGAUUUCACCUGUCUUCUGUCUUCAUUUAAGACUCUCCUAUUUCUGCCUGCCAUCCACAAAAUUAUAAGUAUAGCCUCCACGAUCUGGUCUCCAGAUGAAUUUAGGGUUGCUCUGAGAACUGCACACGAGUAUAUUUCUCUCUAGAAGUUUCAGAGGCCGCUUGACCCUUCUACUUCCUGCCAGGCUGAUGUCUGAACAGGCUGCCUCCCUACAGAGCAGAAAGAAGGUUCUGAUGUAAGCACAUUCUUAGAAGAUAAGACGGGUUCUGCUAUUUCUUUUGAGAGAUGAGGAAACCAAAGCGGAGAGACAGAGUCCUGCCAGGAUCAGAAACCAAGCAACGUGACAUCAGAGCCCGCACGCGCCAGCUAGGCUGCCUACUGGUGUAAAAUCAAAGCCAGUUCCCAAUCUCAGCUCAGCCUCAGGAAUCAGACUGCUCAGGGUCAGUGCUCCGUCUCAGCCCUCUCUAAUUGUUUGACCUUCUUUGUGCCUGGUUUCUGAACCCAUAAAAAAUAGAAUAAAGGCUGGGAGUGGUGGCCCAUGCCUGUCACGCUAGCACUUGGGGUGUGACAGCAGAAGUCACACAAAUCCAAGGCCAGCCUCCAUUACAUAGUAAGUUUUAAGCCAGUCAGGGCCACAUGAGACCCUGCCUCAAAAAAGGGGAAGACAGCAGUCCCACCUCAUUAGAAUUACUGUAACAAUUAAUUUGUUAAUUAUCAGGGCUUAAAACAAUGCCUAGGACAUAGUAAGAUCUCGGUUAAGUGUUAAUUCUAUUACUUAGUAGUAAUACAUAGACUAAAAUAUCAACUAAGAAGUACAUGGCAGACAGAUAAACACUCAACUGUUGUCAGGUCUGAGAAUAUUUAUAUAAUACCAGAAGCCAUAAAACCCGGUGAGGACCACCUGACUACCUAAAACAGCCCAUUCACAGCCUUCUUCUGUCUUUUUUUUUUCUUUUUCCGGAGCUGGGGACCGAACCCAGAGCCUUGCGCUUGCUAGGCAA